rnacentral:lncRNA from 1 species
ACGGUCGGACCGUAUGAGUAUACGCGUACGGUCCAGCUGACCUGACAUGUUUUGAGAUCAUAUGGGUUAAAACAAAUAUUUAUCAAAAUAUUUAUUUUUAGUUAUACAAAUUGUUAUUAUUACAAAUAGAUGGAUGAAGUGAAUAAGCGAACAAUUGACAUUAAAUAUUUGUUUAAUUGUAUAUCUGAAUCCUAUUUUGUUACUCUGGCCCAAGGUGACACUAGUCUUGCUACCACAAGGAACGUCAUAUUUUUUUUAAUGAAUUACUGACAUGCUAAAUACAGGAGAUUAACAGAUUAAAUAAGCGUGAUUUUUUUAAAUAGUUAAAAUAUUAAGUUUUUAUUUCAAUUACUAUUGAACUUUUUAUAUUAAUUUGAGAUAUAAGUUAUGUUGAUCUGUUAUAUACAUUUGUAACUAAUAAACUUGACCAACUUCUUAAUAUUAGUCAGACCGUACGCGUACGGUCCGACCGUAUACGUAUUUUGAAAAAGUACGCAUACGGUCCAGACCGUACGCGUACGGUCCAAAUACUCAUACGGUCUGGAACAUUAACAAUUAUCUU